AGGUUAACCGUAUAGGGGAGCCGUAGAGAAAUCGAGUCUUAAUAGGGCGUUUAGUUGCUGGGUAUAGACCCGAAACCAGGCGAUCUAUCCAUGAGCAGGUUGAAGGUUGGGUAACACUAACUGGAGGACCGAACCCACUGUCGUUGAAAAGCCAGGGGAUGACUUGUGGAUAGGGGGGAAAGGCUAAUCAAGCCUGGUGAUAGCUGGUUCUCCCCGAA
rnacentral:rRNA from 1 species